UUGGCCUCGGAUCAGGUAGGGAUACCCGCUGAACUUAAGCAUAUCAAUAAGCGGAGGAA
rnacentral:rRNA from 2 species